GAGGAAAGUCCGGGCUCUAUAUAAAUUACUAGAGUUGAUUAACAUUCAAUUUAGGAAACUGAGAGGAUAGUGCCACAGAAAUAAACCACCAUAUUAUGGUAAGGGUGCAAAGGUAGAAUAAAAGACUACCAGAAAUAUUUAGAAAAUAUUUGCUUGGUAAACCCCUCUAUAGAGUAAAGUAACUUGCAUUAUGUAAAUUUAUGAAUAAUAAUGUUUUAUAACUAUUACUGCAUAAAAAUUUUGGUAACAGAAUUUUUAGAUGAACAACUACCCUUUGAAUUUUUUAGUAAGCUUAGUAAACUAAGAAAGAUUUAAAGAACAAAACCCGGCUUAU
rnacentral:RNase_P_RNA from 1 species